UUUUAACCUCUUUCCCCCCGCGGCUGCCUUUUUCACCUCUUGUUUUUCCCCCUGUGCCCCCUCUGUCCCCUGUUCCUGUGCUGGGUCCGAGCUGGGGCCGGGCCAGGUGGAGCAGCAGUUCCAGCCCCGGCUGUCCCUGGAGCGGUGGGAGCUGCCGGUGGCCCCAGGCACUGUCCCCUGAGGAGCUGCUGAGGGACGCUGUCCUGAAGACCUUGAGGCCAGCCAGACACUGCCAGCAGCCAGCAGGGAGAAGCUGAAGGCCAGGAGCGAGAGCAGUGAACAGGGAACUGCUGCUGCCACCCCAAGAGCCUGGGUGAGGCCACAGGGCCAGUGAGGCCGGGCAGGGCUGAGGGUGGCGUGGGCUUUGGCCGUGGGCGCUGCCCGGCUGGGCAGGAGCGGCCCCUGCCCGUGCUGGGGCUGCUCAGCGCUGCUGCCCCGGCCGGCACAGGGGCUGUCCUUGGGCAAGGCAGCUGUGCCGGCAGGGCCCGGGAGCUGUGCCGGCCUGCCGGGGGAUGCAGGACAGUCCCGCUGCGACUGCGCUCGCCACACGCUGGCCUGCUUGGCCUGCUUGUUCUUUCAGCCCUCCUUGGGAGGCUCUGAGAUUUUUGCUUCCCUGCUGGAAGUGCAGGUGCUGCCAAGGGAAAGGUCCCAAUACUGACCCUGUGUUCCCUUUGCCUCUCUAAUAGAGACAUACUGAUAUUUUUGUAUUUAUAUAUAAGGCUGUAUGGUUGUCAGAAUACGCAAUAAUUUAAGUUGUUAAUCUUCAGUGUUAUUGAGUGUAGUGAGUGGUUGUAGAGGUUUGCAUUAAACUAGUUUCUGUUAACAGAA